GUUUAGAUAACCAAAUGGCCGAAGGUGUAACAUUGGAAAUGUUAUGUAUAUAUUUAUACCGAGGGUUUAAAUCCCUCUCUUUCCG
rnacentral:tRNA from 1 species